CCUACGGGGCGCAGCAGGCGCGAAACCUUCGCAAUGUGCGAAAGCACGACGAGGUUAUUCCGAGUGAUUUCCGCUGAGGAAAUCUUUUCUCAGAUCUAAAAAGUCUGGGGAAUAAGGGGAGGGCAAGUCUGGUGUCAGCCGCCGCGGUAAUACCAGCUCCUCGAGUGGUCAGGGCGUUUAUUGGGCCUAAAGCAUCCGUAGCCGGCUCAGUUGGUCUCCUGUUAAAUCCAGCGGCUCAACCGUUGGUCUGCAGGAGAUACCGCUGGGCUAGGAGGCGGGAGAGGCGGACGGUACUCCGAGGGUAGGGGUAAAAUCCUUUGAUCCCCGGAAGACCACCAGUGGCGAAGGCGGUCCGCCAGAACGCGCUCGACGGUGAGGGAUGAAAGCUGGGGGAGCGAACCGGAUUAGAUACCCGGGUAGUCCCAGCCGUAAACGAUGCGAGCUAGGUGACACAACGCCUUCGGGGCGUUGUGGUGCCGCAGGGAAGCCGUUAAGCUCGCCGCCUGGGGAGUACGGACGCAAGUCUGAAACUUAAAGGAAUUGGCGGGGGAGCACCACAAGGGGUGAAGCCUGCGGUUCAAUUGAGUCAACGCCGGGAGUCUUACCGGGAGCGACAGCAGAUUGAAGGUCAAGCUGAAGACUUUACCAGACGAGCUGA
rnacentral:rRNA from 1 species